UACGUAGGGUGCGAGCGUUGUCCGGAAUUAUUGGGCGUAAAGAGCUCGUAGGCGGUGUGUCGCGUCGGCCGUGAAAACCCGAGGCUCAACCUCGGGCCUGCAGUCGAUACGGGCAAACUAGAGUACUGCAGGGGAGACUGGAAUUCCUGGUGUAGCGGUGAAAUGCGCAGAUAUCAGGAGGAACACCGGUGGCGAAGGCGGCAUCCUGGACCGACAUUGACGCUGAGGAGCGAAAGCUAGGGGAGCAAACAGG
rnacentral:rRNA from 1 species